rnacentral:rRNA from 1 species
AUUGAACGCUGGCGGCAUGCCUUACACAUGCAAGUCGAACGGCAGCACGGGUGCUUGCACCUGGUGGCGAGUGGCGAACGGGUGAGUAAUACAUCGGAACAUGUCCUGUAGUGGGGGAUAGCCCGGCGAAAGCCGGAUUAAUACCGCAUACGAUCUACGGAUGAAAGCGGGGGACCUUCGGGCCUCGCGCUAUAGGGUUGGCCGAUGGCUGAUUAGCUAGUUGGUGGGGUAAAGGCCUACCAAGGCGACGAUCAGUAGCUGGUCUGAGAGGACGACCAGCCACAGUGGAACUGAGACACGGCCCAGACUCCGACGGGAGGAAGCAGGGGGGAUUUUUGGACAAGGGGCGAAAGCCUGAUCCAGCAAUGCCGCGUGUGUGAAGAAGGCCUUCGGGUUGUAAAGCACUUUUGUCGGGAAAGAAAUCCUGGGCUUUAAUACAGUGGGGGGAUGACGGUACCGAAAGAAUAAGCACCGGCUAACUCCGUG